CGCUUAGCGCAUCUGGGUCGCAGGGAGUGCUGGAGACUAUCCCCGCGGUCAACGGGCAGGCCACCCUCAACUGCUUUCCGGCCAAUCGCAGGGCACAUGGAGACAGCAAUUGAGAGUGUUCAGUUAAUGUUGUGCAUGUUUUGGAGACGUGGGAGGAAAGCGGAGAAAAGCCAGGCAGGCACGGGUCGGAAUUGAACCCUGGACCUCGGGACUGAAGUGAGCUCCGCCCUUUUCCGAGUGAGGUCAGGUGACCUCCCGCGGCCAACGAGCUUCCGUCCUUCACAGCUGAGCCUGGUUGGCCGCUAAUUGCUGAUUGGGGCGCAGGUGCGCUGUUGCCAGGCAGGAUAAGAACGAGCCUCGCAAAGCUCGCUCUCAUUAUUUCAGUCUGGCGUUGAACCUUCGGACUGCUUUUUUUUUUUUUUUCUUUCUUUCUUUUCCUCUUCUCAGCUGGCUGCCAUGACUCUCAGAACUCUUUUCUGUGGUUGCUUGGUUUUCCUCCUCAAUGACUGCAGUUCUGGUUUUUCAGUGAAAAAACUUUACGGCGGUGGUCAAACUCUUCACGCGCAGAACCCUCUGCCUGUUGAAAACCUCAACUGGGACCUUGGCAAUGUCCGGCAACCCGAUUCAGCAGCGCCCAACGCGAGGGGGUACUUUGCACCGCCGGGGCCUCGUAGUGCUCACGAGUACCCGGCGAGCACCCCGGGACAGCCUCCUCGCCGCUAUUAUCCGGCACCAGGAAGGUCAAAUGCGGCACAGUCUGACCGUGGCCAUCGAAACCACCAGAACAGAGUCCGCAACGAGUUCUCCUUUGGAAGAGCUAAUCAAGUCCACCGUGACAGGUCUUCAGUCUUAAAUGAUCCCCCAUUCAGCGGAGUCUGGCCUGCAUACCCAUCUGAUGCUGGGUGGCCCUUCGACUCUCCAAGACGGCCUUUGCCCAGGGGUCCCGUCAAGCUGCCCCGCGAUUCGGAAGAGCUCGAACCGGAGGAGUCUCCGACUUACAUCGUCAGGUCCAGAAAUGGCCACGAGCGAGCCAGCUUUCUGUUCACCAAAGCCUUCUACACGCCUCGCGUUGCGCACCCACUGGCUGGUCACCCCCGCUACUACUACGCCAAGAAGCGCCACGCAGCCGUGCACUGAAAGGUCACCUUUUGUCAAUUUUUUUCUCACGUCAAUUAAAACAGUCUCACUUUCA